rnacentral:rRNA from 1 species
GACGAACGCUGGCGGCGCGCUUAACACAUGCAAGUCGAACGAAGUGGCGAACGUGUGAGUAAUACGUGGGUAACCUGCCCUCCUUUUUGGGAUAAUCCUUUGAACCGGGGUCUAAUACCGAAUCAAGGGGGAUGGGAUCGCGGCCUAUCAGCUUGUUGGGGGGGUGAUGGCCUACCAAGGCGGUGACGGGUAGCCGGCCUGAGAGGGUGACCGGCCAGAUUGGGACUGAGAGACGGCCAAGACUCAUACAGGAAGGAGCAGUGGGGGAUAGUGCACAAUGGGAGAAAGCCUGAUGCAGCGACGCGGCGUGGGGGAUGAAAGCUUUCGGGUUGUAAACCUCUUGCGCGUUCGAAAGGGUAGGUUGAGAAGAAGCGCCGGCUAACUACGUGCCAGCAGCCGCGGUAAUAC